rnacentral:rRNA from 1 species
AACGAACGCUGGCGGCAGGCUUAACACAUGCAAGUCGAACGCACCGCAAGGUGAGUGGCAGACGGGUGAGUAACGCGUGGGAACGUACCCUUUACUACGGAAUAACUCAGGGAAACUUGUGCUAAUACCGUAUGUGCCCUUCGGGGGAAAGAUUUAUCGGUAAAGGAUCGGCCCGCGUUGGAUUAGCUAGUUGGUAGGGUAAAGGCCUACCAAGGCGACGAUCCAUAGCUGGUCUGAGAGGAUGAUCAGCCACAUUGGGACUGAGACACGGCCCAAACUCCUACGGGAGGCAGCAGUGGGGAAUAUUGGACAAUGGGCGCAAGCCUGAUCCAGCCAUGCCGCGUGAGUGAUGAAGGUCUUAGGAUUGUAAAGCUCUUUCACCGGGGAAGAUAAUGACGGUACCCGGAGAAGAAGCCCCGGCUAACUUCGUGCCAGCCGCCGCGGUAA